GAUGAACGCUGGCGGCGUGCCUAAUACAUGCAAGUCGAGCGCAGCGGGGGCGGUUGAGUACCACGUGGAUAACCUUCUCUAAGACUGGAAUAACUUCGGGAAACCGGAGCUAAACGGGAUACUUAGAGAUGGCUCCUCGCUGCAUUAGCUGUUUGGUAAGGUAACGGCUUACCAAGGCAACGAUGCAUAGCCGACCUGAGAGGGUGAUCGGCCACACUGGAACUGAGACACGGUCCAGACUCCUACGGGAGGCAGCAGUAGGGAAUCUUCCGCAAUGGGCGAAAGCCUGACGGAGCAACGCCGCGUGAGUGAUGAAGGUCUUCGGAUCGUAAAACUCUGUUAUUAGGGAAGCGGUACCUAAUCAGAAAGCCACGGCUAACUACGUGCCAGCAGCCGCGGUAAUUC
rnacentral:rRNA from 1 species